rnacentral:misc_RNA from 1 species
GAUGAAGAACGUAGUGAAAUGCGAUAAGUAAUGUGAAUUGCAGAAUUCAGUGAAUCAUCGAAUCUUUGAACGCACAUUGCGCCCCUUGGUAUUCCGAGGGGCAUGCCUGUUCGAGCGUCAUUUCAACCCUCAAGCCCAGCUUGGUGUUGGGGAUCGGCACAGGCGCCCUCGGGCGCCCGCCGUCCCCUAAAUCUAGUGGCGGUCCCGCUGCAGCCUCCUCUGCGUAGUAGUUUUCUCCUCGCAAGGGCAGCUCGGUGGGGACCUCGCCGUAAAACCCCCAACUUCUGAAAGGUUGACCUCGAAUCAGGUAGGAAUACCCGCUGAACUUAAGCAUAUCAAUAAGCGGAGGA